GAGGCGGUGACUGUGGUGGUGUAGGUGGAAGCAGCGGUGGAGGAGGAGGAUGAGGUAGCCAACACUGUUUUUAUAUAUAUAUAUAUUUUUUUUAAUUGGGGUAGCCCCCAAAAUAUUAGGACAUAUAAAAAAAGACAACUCUGUUCCGCAGAGUAGCUGUUGACAUUAUAGUUGCGCAGGAACUUUGUUGCCUCUAGAAAACCUCGGGCAAAUCACACAUCCCCGUGGUGGCGACUUUGCAUGCGGAUGUCAUCCAUAUCAACUUUCGAUGCCAGUUUCUGCGCCUACCAUGGUGACCACGGGUAAGGGGGAAUCAGGGUUCCAUUCCGUAAAGGGACCCUGAGAAAUAGCUACCACAUGCAAGGAAGGCAGCAGGCGCACAACUGACCCACUCCUGACUGGGGAAGGUAGUGAUGACAAAUAACAAUACAGGACUCUUUAAAGGCCCUGUAAUUGUAAUGAGUCCACUUGAAAUCCUUUAACUCUGAUCAAUUGGAGGGAAGUCUGGUGCAAAGUCUGGUGCUCGCAA